AACGCACAUUGCGCCCGCCGGCAUUCCGGCGGGCAUGCCUGUCCGAGCGUCAUUUCCACCCUCAGGCUCUGCCUGGCGUUGGGGGCCUGCCGUGCUGCAGCCCCCGAAAGACAGCGGCGGUCCCGAUCCCGGUCCCGAGCGUAGUAGCAUACGUCGCUCUGGGCGCCUGGCGGGCACCGGCCGUAAAACCCCCCCUUUUUAUAGGUUGACCUCGGAUCAGGUAGGAAUACCCGCUGAACUUAA
rnacentral:misc_RNA from 1 species